rnacentral:snRNA from 1 species
GUGGCAUUUAUAGAGCGGCACUUAUACUAAAAUUGGAAUGAUACAGAGAAGAUUAGCAUGGCCCCAGCUCAAGGAUGACAUGCAAAUUCAUCAAGCGUUCUAUAUUUUU